rnacentral:tRNA from 1 species
UUAGCCGAGAUAGCUCAGUCGGUAGAGCAGAGGACUGAAAAUCCUCGUGUCACCGAAAUUC